rnacentral:rRNA from 1 species
GACGAACGCUGGCGGCGUGCUUAACACAUGCAAGUCGAACGGAAAGGCCCAGCUUGCUGGGUACUCGAGUGGCGAACGGGUGAGUAACACGUGGGUGAUCUGCCCUUCACUCUGGGAUAAGCCUGGGAAACUGGGUCUAAUACCGGAUAUGACCAACUGUCGCAUGGUGGGUGGUGGAAAGCUUUUGCGGUGUGGGAUGGGCCCGCGGCCUAUCAGCUUGUUGGUGGGGUAAUGGCCUACCAAGGCGACGACGGGUAGCCGACCUGAGAGGGUGAUCGGCCACACUGGGACUGAGACACGGCCCAGACUCCUACGGGAGGCAGCAGUGGGGAAUAUUGCACAAUGGGCGCAAGCCUGAUGCAGCGACGCCGCGUGAGGGAUGACGGCCUUCGGGUUGUAAACCUCUUUCACCAGGGACGAAGCGUGAGUGACGGUACCUGGAGAAGAAGCACCGGCCAACUACGUG